rnacentral:tRNA from 2 species
UAGCUCAGUUGGUAGAGCAUAACCUUGCCAAGGUUGGGGUCGCGAGUUCGAGUCU